CCUACGGGCGGCAGCAGUAGGGAAUAUUGCUCAAUGGGGGAAACCCUGACGCAGCCACGCCGCGUGAAGGAUGAAGGUUUUCGGAGUGUAAACCUCUUUUUUUAGAGAAGAUAAUGACGGUACCUAACGAAUAAGCACCGUCUAACUCCGUGCCAGCAGCCGCGGUAAUACGGAGGGUGCAAGCGUUAUCCGGAUGCACUGGGCGUAAAGCGAGCGUAGGCGGGAUAGCAAGUCAGGUGUGAAAUCCUAGGGCUUAACCAUAGAACUGCAUUUGAAACUGUUAUGCUUGAGUAUAGGAGAGGUAGGUGGAAUUCUUGGUGUAGGGGUAAAAUGCGUAGAGAUCAAGAGGAAUACUGAUUGCGAAGGCGGCCUACUGGAACGUAACUGACGCUGAUGCGCGAAAGCGUGGGGAGCAAACAGGAUUAGAUACCCCAGUAGUC
rnacentral:rRNA from 1 species